rnacentral:rRNA from 1 species
AGCGAACGCUGGCGGCAGGCUUAACACAUGCCAGUCGAGCGGGCAUCCUUGUGGUGUCAGCGGCAGACGGGUGAGUAACGCGUGGGAACGUGCCCUUCGGUUCGGAAUAACUCAGGGAAACUUGAGCUAAUACCGGAUACGUGCGAGAGCAGAAAGGUUUAUCUGCCGAAGGAUCGGCCGGCGUCUGAUUAGCUAGUUGGUGAGGUUAUGGCUCACCAAGGCGACGAUCAGUAGCUGGUCUGAGAGGAUGAUCAGCCACACUGGGACUGAGACACGGCCCAGACUCCUACGGGAGGCAGCAGUGGGGAAUAUUGGACAAUGGGGGCAACCCUGAUCCAGCCAUGCCGCGUGAGUGAUGACGGCCUUAGGGUUGUAAAGCUCUUUUCUCCGGGACGAUAAUGACGGUACCGGAGGAAUAAGCCCCGGCUAACUUCGUG